CGAAAGAGCUCUGAACAUGUCAGACAUGCUUCCCGUGUUGUGCUGUUUUCUUCUUAGAAAAUGAUCGCUGCUGUGGCUGUUAGCCAUUUUUCGACAUUAACGGUAACACGUAGGGACUGUCUGGGAGUCAGAUUUCUGUUAAAUUUUUUUGCCCUCAUAACUGACAGAAGAAAAAUGAUUGUUUCAGAGCCUUUUGUGAAACUGGCGCUGAGAGACAAAAAUUGAGUUACAUGCAUUGCAGAACUGUUAGAGGCCAUAUUUGUCUCACGAUUUUGGCAGCUUUAGGACUGCAGGCUGAUAAGAUUGGGAGCGGAGGAAGAAGAUUGCUGUCGACAUGAACAACUGAUGAAAAGGUGGUGGGAGAUCCUGAGUGCAAAUUUUCCUGGAAAAGUAACAGAUAACAUGCAAAUUGUGACUUUUACAAAAAUGAAAAUUGUGUAUCAAAAGAAAGGGAAAUUCAAUAAAAAGUUGCAUAUAGAGAUUACUGAGGUGGGUGUUGAGAAUAAAUAGGCUCUUUUGUCGUGCGGUGGUGUUACACACCAGGAGUCCAGGCCAGUGCGAGAGCGAUUCUGUGACCAUAGAAAUACUUAGAAUUUCAGGGCUCUGGUGUUGAGGGAGCAUCUGAGGACAACACAAGUCCUACUGCCACUGUUUGGCUGAACAACAGGAACUGGUGGCAGUUGGAGCCAGUGAAAAUAAUGAAGCAGAUUCCAGCGUGGGGGGGUGUCUGAGAUGUCCGAGUCUGAGCAGCUCUCUGAACUCGUCUUCAUUCGAGAAGGUCCAACUAGCUGACCCCAAUUGACCCUGCAAGCGCUUCUAUCUCAGCUGGAUUCCAUAAGGCAUGCUCCUGGAAGAACUGUCGAGAGCAUGUGUCUCUGUGUGUGUUUUUUUUGUGCGUGUGUGUUUCUGUUCUGAAUUUUGGCCAACUGAAGUGCUGCCACAGAAAAGUGAGAACUCAUUAUGUCCCUGUCGUUUUUGUCCGAGCAACUCCACGUGCCGUCACUGUCAUCGGGAAAGCAGAUGUAUUGGACACGGCACUACCGAGCCAGUGAAGGGAUGCGGCGGGGAGACUGCGGCGUCUGGGAGAAGGAUGUCAGCCGUCGCUUCAAAGCCCCAUCGGAAGGACCUUUCAGCAGUGACAAACGGGCUGGGACAGGAGCAAGCAGGCCACUGGGAUGUGAAGCAGAGAAAAAUCAGGACUGGG
ensembl:lncRNA